AGGUCUUAACACAUUACUAACUAAUAAUAAAUUAAUUAAUCAGCCAGCAGGAAGUGAUGUAAUAUCAAGGGAGCUAUAAAGGGAUGCCCCUAUAUUGCCUCUCAUUCUGUAGUUGGUAUUCAAUGAGGUUGCACUUGUUCCUGUAAAAAGGAAUAGUUUCGUUCAGGAUUUGAAAUUUUCCUAAGUUCUCUGUUUGGUGACAUGUAUAAACAGAGGUAGACUAUAAGGUUCCACCAUUCUUGAUUGAAAAUAGGGAACGUAACAUCAUCUAAUUUCAACCAAAUUUAUAUAUAUUUUUUUGAAGUCUAUCUAGAUAUUAUAUUUAUCGAAUUGAAUAUGUGAUUGGAUGUAAUCAUUGGAUAUUCUAAACCUUUCUAAUCAAUGGUAAUCACUCCUACUAUAAGAACUGAUUCCAAACCCCUGAUGAAGUCCUAACGGACGAAACGCGUUGGGUUUUGCAACGUCUGGUUAACAAAGUCCUUAUCACAAACAUCUGGUUGGAGAUACAUCCAUUUCGAGUUCUGACUGUGAUCACCUGGCUGUAAAAUCCUCACAUCCAACUGUAAUUUAUGUAUAAGAUUGUAAUAUUGUUUUAUAUGAAUUUUUAGAAGGUUGUGUCAAUAACGAACGCUUAGGAUAAAUA